GACGGUUGUCCCGGUUUAAGCGUGUAGGCUGGUUUUCCAGGCAAAUCCGGAAAAUCAAGGCUGAGGCGUGAUGACGAGGCACUACGGUGCUGAAGCAACAAAUGCCCUGCUUCCAGGAAAAGCCUCUAAGCAUCAGGUAACAUCAAAUCGUACCCCAAACCGACACAGGUGGUCAGGUAGAGAAUACCAAGGCGCUUGAGAGAACUCGGGUGAAGGAACUAGGCAAAAUGGUGCCGUAACUUCGGGAGAAGGCACGCUGAUAUGUAGGUGAAGUCCCUCGCGGAUGGAGCUGAAAUCAGUCGAAGAUACCAGCUGGCUGCAACUGUUUAUUAAAAACACAGCACUGUGCAAACACGAAAGUGGACGUAUACGGUGUGACGCCUGCCCGGUGCCGGAAGGUUAAUUGAUGGGGUUAGCGCAAGCGAAGCUCUUGAUCGAAGCCCCGGUAAACGGCGGCCGUAACUAUAACGGUCCUAAGGUAGCGAAAUUCCUUGUCGGGUAAGUUCCGACCUGCACGAAUGGCGUAAUGAUGGCCAGGCUGUCUCCACCCGAGACUCAGUGAAAUUGAACUCGCUGUGAAGAUGCAGUGUACCCGCGGCAAGACGGAAAGACCCCGUGAACCUUUACUAUAGCUUGACACUGAACAUUGAGCCUUGAUGUGUAGGAUAGGUGGGAGGCUUUGAAGUGUGGACGCCAGUCUGCAUGGAGCCGACCUUGAAAUACCACCCUUUAAUGUUUGAUGUUCUAACGUUGACCCGUAAUCCGGGUUGCGGACAGUGUCUGGUGGGUAGUUUGACUGGGGCGGUCUCCUCCUAAAGAGUAACGGAGGAGCACGAAGGUUGGCUAAUCCUGGUCGGACAUCAGGAGGUUAGUGCAAUGGCAUAAGCCAGCUUGACUGCGAGCGUGACGGCGCGAGCAGGUGCGAAAGCAGGUCAUAGUGAUCCGGUGGUUCUGAAUGGAAGGGCCAUCGCUCAACGGAUAAAAGGUACUCCGGGGAUAACAGGCUGAUACCGCCCAAGAGUUCAUAUCGACGGCGGUGUUUGGCACCUCGAUGUCGGCUCAUCACAUCCUGGGGCUGAAGUAGGUCCCAAGGGUAUGGCUGUUCGCCAUUUAAAGUGGUACGCGAGCUGGGUUUAGAACGUCGUGAGACAGUUCGGUCCCUAUCUGCCGUGGGCGCUGGAGAACUGAGGGGGGCUGCUCCUAGUACGAGAGGACCGGAGUGGACGCAUCACUGGUGUUCGGGUUGUCAUGCCAAUGGCACUGCCCGGUAGCUAAAUGCGGAAGAGAUAAGUGCUGAAAGCAUCUAAGCACGAAACUUGCCCCGAGAUGAGUUCUCCCUGACUCCUUGAGAGUCCUGAAGGAACGUUGAAGACGACGACGUUGAUAGGCCGGGUGUGUAAGCGCAGCGAUGCGUUGAGCUAACCGGUACUAAUGAACCGUGAGG
rnacentral:rRNA from 1 species